rnacentral:rRNA from 1 species
CCUACGGGGGGCUGCAGUAAGGAAUAUUGGUCAAUGGACGCAAGUCUGAACCAGCCAUGCCGCGUGAAGGAUGAAGGUCCUCUGGAUUGUAAACUUCUUUUAUGUGGGAAGAAACCUGGAUAUUCUUAUUCAGUUGACGGUACCAUAGGAAUAAGCACCGGCUAACUCCGUGCCAGCAGCCGCGGUAAUACGGAGGGUGCAAGCGUUAUCCGGAUUCACUGGGUUUAAAGGGUGCGUAGGCGGGCAGGUAAGUCAGUGGUGAAAUCUCUGGGCUU